UUCUGUUGGCUAAUUAGCUUGUACUAAAUUGUACGUGCUUCUUGGUCUUGCAUGAAUCUUUAUCAAUCUUGAUUUUAGUUUAACAUGGUUAACAGAAGCAGUUGCUUCAGAUCAAGCACUCUUCUAUGCAUCGUAGUACUGCUUUUAAUACUACACUUGAAUCCUUCUAUUGGAUAUGGAUGCAUUGAGAGGGAAAGGCAAGCACUUCUUGCAUUCAAAAAAGACACUGUGGACAACUACAAUCGACUCUCUUCAUGGGGAUCGAGUGAAGAUUGUUGUAAAUGGGCAGGAGUCCGGUGCAGCAACCAGACUGGCAAUGUCAAUGAACUUCAUCUUCAACCUGAGCCUCUGAUGCGACCCUUGAAAGGUACCAUUAGUUCUAAAGUCUAAACUGAUCGAGUUAGAGUUUUUGGAAUACUUGGACCUCAGCUACAAUAAGUUGAAUCUUGACAGCAUUCGAGAUUUCAUUGGUUCGUUGAGGAAAUUAAGGUACCUCGAUCUCUCUUCUAAUUUUGUUAGUGGUUCAUUUCCGUAUCAAAUUGGAAAUCUUACAAACUUGGAAUAUCUCGAUCUUGGCUACACUUACUUAACUAGAAUAGAAAACUUCAACUGGCUCUCUCAUCUUACUUCUUUAAGAGACUUGAAGCUGUCCGGCAGCAAUCUCAGUACUGCUUUCGAUUGGCUGGAAGCAGUUAAUAGUGUAAUAACCUGUUUUUUUUAUUCAAAUCAAUUUGGUGGCAAACACCUUUAAUCAAAGGUAGGGUGUUCCGUGAUUAAGCAUUAGUGGAUCAAUUCAGACCAGUGCUUUAAUCGCUUUUGUGUUUAGGCAUAAUUGAGAAUCAUUCAACAAAGGAAGCAGAAGAAAAUCUCACUCUCUCUCUCACUGCCGAACCCACCAAAAAACAGAGCACAAAUUCUUCGAUCUCUCUCUCCCACCUCAGGCCACCUCAAGACGUCAGACCACCUCCAUUACCUUCGCCUCUUCCUUGCGCAGCCGUCAGUGGUAACUUUUCGUCGUCUCGUGAGCCGUACACGGCGGUGGAGCACGAGGCCAGUUUAACUUCCUUUUGUUCCAAGCUUGAUAUCUCAGGCUACCGGUCACCACUCAUCGUCAAACUUCAUCCACGAGCUCACCUCAAUCUCCAGAAGCGCCCAGAAGUGUCCUUUCACGGCGGCACUACGUGUGGUGGCGGUUGGAAGCCAAACCCGAUCAAAAAAAAUCGAAACCGAGCUAUCAACCCGGAUAUCUCGAGUUACAGACCACCUUUUCCUGUGACUCUUGGCCUGGUGAGUUCGCCUUGAGAUUGUUAACAACUCUCUAGAAGGGAUCGAGGCCUGAAGUUGAAGUUUUUACGUCGAAAUUCAAGCUCGCCGGAUUCUGGAAAUUUUCCGGCCACCGAGACUUUUGAUCGAGUUAUCUCGAGCUAUAGAGCUUUUUUUUGAGUAAUUCUUGAACCAGUGAGUUCUUCUUUAAGUUAUGAACAAGUCUCCUGAAGGAAUCGAAGCCAAAGGAGGACAUUUUUACGAUGAUCGGAGCUUCGCCGGAUUCUGCAAAUUAUCGCCGGAUUCUGGAAAUUUUCCGGCCACCGUGACUAUUUUGGUGAUUGACGGUCUUCCUUGGGUGAGCGGUUUCGGUGUGUAUUGUGUUGAAUUGAAAACGCAGCGGGAAUAUCGAGCGGGUAAUCCUACAGGUCAGGAAAAUCAGAAAGGUGAUCGAGCUGCGUAGAGUAGCUGCAUUUGUGUGAAUCUGACUUUCUUUUGUGAGGUGUGUUAUGCUCAUUGAGCUACAUUUAUAAUUUGGUGAGAGUGUGCUGUAAUAAACAAAUUUGAGAUUUGGUUUAUGUAAUAUCGAGCGAUGUGAGGUGUGGUUGUUUUGAGAAAAAAAUUCAGGUUGUAUUUAUGUGAGUUGUAUUAAUUCAUGUUUCGGAUUUGAAUUUGUUAUUCAAAAUUCGG